AACGCACAUUGCGCCCGCCAGCAUUCUGGCGGGCAUGCCUGUUCGAGCGUCAUUUCAACCCUCAGGCCCUGCCUGGUGUUAGAGGACUGCGCAUGCAGCCUCCCAAAGCAAGCGGCGGCGGCGCCCCAAAACCGAACGCAGUAGUUACUUCUCGUUCUGGGUCUGGGUCGUUGUCCUGCCGGAAAACCCCCAUCUUUUUAAUGGUUGACCUCGAAUCAGGUAGGAAUACCCGCUGAACUUAA
rnacentral:misc_RNA from 1 species